UACGAAGGGGGCUAGCGUUGUUCGGAAUUACUGGGCGUAAAGCGCGCGCAGGCGGCUCUUCAAGUCAGGGGUGAAAGCCCAGAGCUCAACUCUGGAACUGCCUUUGAGACUGAAGAGCUUGAGUACGGGAGAGGUGAGUGGAAUUCCCAGUGUAGAGGUGAAAUUCGUAGAUAUUCGCAAGAACACCGGUGGCGAAGGCGGCCAACUGGACCAUUACUGACGCUGAGGCGCGAAAGCGUGGGGAGCAAACAGG
rnacentral:rRNA from 1 species